GUGGGGGAUAACGUCCGGAAACGGACGCUAAUACCGCAUACGUCCUACGGGAGAAAGCAGGGGACCUUCGGGCCUUGCGCUAUCAGAUGAGCCUAGGUCGGAUUAGCUAGUUGGUGGGGUAAUGGCUCACCAAGGCGACGAUCCGUAACUGGUCUGAGAGGAUGAUCAGUCACACUGGAACUGAGACACGGUCCAGACUCCUACGGGAGGCAGCAGUGGGGAAUAUUGGACAAUGGGCGAAAGCCUGAUCCAGCCAUGCCGCGUGUGUGAAGAAGGUCUUCGGAUUGUAAAGCACUUUAAGUUGGGAGGAAGGGCAGUAAAUUAAUACUUUGCUGUUUUGACGUUACCGACAGAAUAAGCACCGGCUAACUCUGUGCCAGCAGCCGCGGUAAUACAGAGGGUGCAAGCGUUAAUCGGAAUUACUGGGCGUAAAGCGCGCGUAGGUGGUUCGUUAAGUUGGAUGUGAAAUCCCCGGGCUCAACCUGGGAACUGCAUUCAAAACUGACGAGCUAGAGUAUGGUAGAGGGUGGUGGAAUUUCCUGUGUAGCGGUGAAAUGCGUAGAUAUAGGAAGGAACACCAGUG
rnacentral:rRNA from 1 species